UACAGGGGGUGCAAACGUUGCUCGGAAUUAUUGGGCGUAAAGAGCGUGUAGGCGGCCAGAUAAGUCCGCUGUGAAAUCUCGAGGCUCAACUUCGAGCUGUCGGUGGAAACUAUCUGGCUAGAGUCCGGAAGAGGAGAAUGGAAUUCCUGGUGUAGCGGUGAAAUGCGCAGAUAUCAGGAAGAACACCCGUGGCGAAGGCGGUUCUCUGGGACGGUACUGACGCUGAGACGCGAAAGCGUGGGGAGCGAACAGG
rnacentral:rRNA from 1 species